rnacentral:rRNA from 1 species
AUGCUUAAAUCCGUCCGAAUCUUGUUAGUAGUUGCCAUAUUUUAUGAAAUUUGGCAAAUGGAUGUCAAAACUGCAUUCCUUAAAUGGAUAUUUCUUAAAGAAGAGUUGUAUAUGAUGCAAUCAGAAGGUUUUGUCGAUCCAAUGGGUGCUAACAAAGUGUGCAAGCUCCAACGAUGCAUUUAUGGACUGGUGCAAGCCUCUCAGAGUUGGAAUAAAUGCUUUGAUAGUGUGAUCAAAGCAUAUAGUUUUAUACAGACUUGCGGUGAAGCCUGUAUUUACAAGAAGGUGAGUGGGAGCUUUGUAGCAUUUCUAAUAUUAUAUGUGGAUGACAUAUUGUUGAUUGGAAAUGAUAUAGAAUUUUUGGAUAGCAUAAAAAGGAUACUUGAAUAA